UACGUAGGGUGCAAGCGUUAAUCGGAAUUACUGGGCGUAAAGCGUGCGCAGGCGGUUUUGUAAGUCUGUCGUGAAAGCCCCGGGCUCAACCUGGGAAUUGCGAUGGAGACUGCAAGGCUUGAAUCUGGCAGAGGGGGGUAGAAUUCCACGUGUAGCAGUGAAAUGCGUAGAUAUGUGGAGGAACACCGAUGGCGAAGGCAGCCCCCUGGGAUAACACUGACGCCUCAUGCACGAAAGCGUGGGGAGCAAACAGG
rnacentral:rRNA from 1 species